UAAAUGAUGUACAUUUCUGGCAUUUGAAUCACAUUAGUAUGGAAGGCCUGUGGGAAUACCCUUCAUUCUUGAAGAAGUACACUGCCCCACUUCCCAAAGUUACUGAAGAAGAUUCGGCUUCCAUCACCUACUAAAGAGUAAUCUGUGAAAUCCUUCCAGUGCUGAGCUGUGAAUCCCACGUGGUUAGGUGAAGUCGCUCAACAAGUGAACCACCUACUUGUAAAUGCGAAGAAAUGUUUGAUUGGAAAAGAGUGGCAAACUAAAAGCAGCUAUUAAGGAUUUAUUUAGAAAGCCUGCCUGCAACUUCUAAAGGCAAGACAAGGUGUAAUUCAGAUUUGUGUCUUUUGUUAGUGCUUUUCUUUUGAAUGUUCUAAAAUCCGUGGGGCUUGCAACCUGGUGAAUAAAUGUUCUCCUUCCCUUCCCUAACAUUUUGAGCCAAUUUAGAAUUAAUCGAACACGAUCAACUUUAAAAGAACAUGUAAUAAAAAGAAAGACCCAUCCACACA